UCUAAUAGAAACCCUACUUUAACCUAAGCAGUACAAUGAAUGACAUCAUUAAAACUUAAAAAUUAUGGCGGCAGCUUAAACACUCAGGGGAACUUACCAUGUAAUUGAUAACCAACAAGAGUCUUCACCUGUUCUUAUAAAAUUAGUAUACCGCCGUCUUUAAACCCUCUUAAGGAGAGUUUAAAAUAUUUACCUUUAGUAUGACAGGUCAUGGUGCUGUAAAUGUUCAGGAAUUUAAGGUGAGUUACAGUAUCAAGACUAUUCGGAUUAUAUUACUAAUUUUUAUAUGAAGUAGGACUUGAUUGUAAAGAAAUAUCCCAUAUUUAGCUUAGGCUGAGCCGAUUGAACAAAUAAAAAUUGAAAGGAAAUUAGGCUGUGC
rnacentral:rRNA from 1 species